UACGUAGGGUCCGAGCGUUUGUCCGGAAUUACUGGGCGUAAAGGGCUCGUAGGCGGCCAACUAAGUCGGAUGUGAAAUCCCCAGGCUCAACCUGGGAACUGCGUCCGAUACUGGAUGGCUUGAAUCCGGGAGAGGGAUGCAGAAUUCCAGGUGUAGCGGUGAAAUGCGUAGAUAUCUGGAGGAAUACCGGUGGCGAAGGCGGUAUCCUGGACCGGCAUUGACGCUGAGGAGCGAAAGCCAGGGGAGCAAACGGG
rnacentral:rRNA from 1 species